rnacentral:snoRNA from 1 species
CCCCUCUCAGGGGCACACCUGGAGAGUUUCCAGUACUCUACCAGUCUUGACUUUGGGAGGUAGAGUCAAGCAGAGAUAUAUCCAUUCCAUUCCUAGCUUGGGCAGUGGCUAGUGAGUGGAUGGCAAUCUGCUACAAGU